rnacentral:sRNA from 1 species
UUCUAAACCUGAUAAAGUGGAAAGCCCGCAACGAGGAACGAGUGAGGACUUGAAGCGAUAGCAGGACUACUC